rnacentral:rRNA from 1 species
GAAGUGGGAUGACGUCAAAUCAUCAUGCCCCUUAUGUUCUGGGCUACACACGUGCUACAAUGGCCGGUACAGACGGACGCAAAGCCGCGAGGUGGAGCAAAUCCUAAAAAGCCGGUCUCAGUUCGGAUUGCAGGCUGCAAUUCGCCUGCAUGAAGUCGGAAUCGCUAGUAAUCGCAGGUCAGCAUACUGCGGUGAAUACGUUCCCGGGCCUU